AACGAACGCUGGCGGCAGGCUUAACACAUGCAAGUCGAGCGCCCCGCAAGGGGAGCGGCAGACGGGUGAGUAACGCGUGGGAACGUACCUUUUGGUUCGGAACAACUCCGGGAAACUGGAGCUAAUACCGGAUAAGCCCUAACGGGGAAAGAUUUAUCGCCGAAAGAUCGGCCCGCGUCUGAUUAGCUAGUUGGUGAGGUAACGGCUCACCAAGGCGACGAUCAGUAGCUGGUCUGAGAGGAUGAUCAGCCACACUGGGACUGAGACACGGCCCAGACUCCUACGGGAGGCAGGAAUGGGGGAUAUUUGACAAUGGGCGCAAGCCUGAUCCAGCCAUGCCGCGUGAGUGAUGAAGGGCUUAGGGUUGUAAAGCUCUUUUGUCCGGGAAGAUAAUGACUGUACCGGAAGAAUAAGCCCCGGCUAACUUCGUG
rnacentral:rRNA from 1 species